rnacentral:rRNA from 1 species
CCUACGGGAGGCUGCAGUGAGGAAUAUUGGUCAAUGGCCGUAAGGCUGAACCAGCCAAGUCGCGUGAAGGAAGAAGGAUCUAUGGUUUGUAAACUUCUUUUAUAGGGGAAUAAAGGUAUCCACGUGUGGAUCUUUGCAUGUACCCUAUGAAUAAGCAUCGGCUAACUCCGUGCCAGCAGCCGCGGUAAUACGGAGGAUGCGAGCGUUAUCCGGAUUUAUUGGGUUUAAAGGGUGCGUAGGCGGACAGUCAAGUCAGCGGUAAAAAUGCGGUGCUCAACGCCGUACAGCCGUUGAAACUGGCAGUCUGGAGUGGGCGAGAAGUAUGCGGAAUGCGUGGUGUAGCGGUGAAAUGCAUAGAUAUCACGCAGAACUCCGAUUGCGAAGGCAGCAUACCGGCGCCCGACUGACGCUGAGGCACGAAAGCGUGGGUAUCGAACAGGAUUAGAUACCCUUGUAGUC